rnacentral:misc_RNA from 1 species
AAGCCACAAAUAUCUCUCACGACAAGAUAAUGAAGAGCGGGAACGCAACAACUGCCAGCCGUUUGAUCCAUGAUCAAUCUCGCCAUGGCUUCUACCUCCUUAACUUCUCCUUCCCUCAGACGCUCACAAUUUCACCCUCUUCUUCGCCAGCAACCAAAAUGCAAACCUCAUUCUGUCUUCGUCUGCUCCUUCAAUGUCCCAAACACAAAAUUCAAUACUUCUUCUCAUUUCAACCCCAAGUUUCCCAUGUCCUCAAUGGAUACAUCGCUCUCUGGUCGAAAGCUGGGAUUCGAUGUAGCUAUAAGCAAAACGAACUUUCCUUUAUGUUUUUGAAAGGUGAUAGAAAUUUUUAUUUUGAUUUUUACUUUUUGUGGUGUGGGUAGGUUGAGUUUUCUGCUGGACAGGAAGCAGAGUCGCUUGUACCUGACGCGACACAGGAGGAGCCUUUUGCUUGGUCUUCUGUGAUUUUGCCGUUUCUUUUCCCAGCUUUGGGAGGAUUGCUAUUUGGGUAUGACAUUGAUGCCACUUCUGGUGCUACCAUAUCAUUG